rnacentral:rRNA from 1 species
UACGGAGGGGACUAGCGUUGUUCGGAAUUACUGGGCGUAAAGCGCACGUAGGCGGAUUUGUAAGUCAGGGGUGAAAUCCCGGGGCUCAACCUCGGAACUGCCUUUGAUACUGCAAGUCUCGAGUCCGAUAGAGGUGAGUGGAAUUCCAGGUGUAGCGGUGAAAUGCGUAGAUAUCUGGAGGAACACCGGUGGCGAAGGCG